UUACGUCUUAGUUGCGCCAAUUCGUGGUAAGCUUGGGUCAUAGAGACUCAUAGGUGUUAUAAAGACUCGCUGGUGUUUGUCUCCUUGAGGCAUACGGCUUUAACCAAAACUCUCAAAGUUUGACCUCAAAUCAGGUAGGAGUACCCGCUGAACUUAAGCAUAUCAAUAAGCGGAGGAAAAGAAACCAACCGGGAUUGCCUUAGUAACGGCGAGUGAAGCGGCAAAAGCUCAAAUUUGAAAUCUGGCGUCUUCGACGUCCGAGUUGUAAUUUGAAGAAGGCGACUUUGUAGCUGGUCCUUGUCUAUGUUCCUUGGAACAGGACGUCAUAGAGGGUGAGAAUCCCGUGUGGCGAGGAUCCCAGUUAUUUGUAAAGUGCUUUCGACGAGUCGAGUUGUUUGGGAAUGCAGCUCUAAGUGGGUGGUAAAUUCCAUCUAAAGCUAAAUAUUGGCGAGAGACCGAUAGCGAACAAGUACAGUGAUGGAAAGAUGAAAAGAACUUUGAAAAGAGAGUGAAAAAGUACGUGAAAUUGUUGAAAGGGAAGGGCAUUUGAUCAGACAUGGCGUUUGCUUCGGCUUUCGCUGGGCCAGCAUCAGUUUUAGCGGUUGGAUAAAUCCUCGGGAAUGUGGCUCUGCUUCGGUAGAGUGUUAUAGCCCGUGGGAAUACAGCCAGCUGGGACUGAGGAUUGCGACUUUUGUCAAGGAUGCUGGCGUAAUGGUUAAAUGCCGCCCGUCUUGAAACACGGACCAAGGAGUCUAACGUCUAUGCGAGUGU
rnacentral:rRNA from 1 species